GGAUGUGAGGGCAAUCUGGCUACAACAUCUGUUACCCCAUUGAUUGGCAGGAUUGAUGCAGCUGAUGUAGCUGGCUAGGCGGGUGUCCACUUCCUCCUUCACUGUUCCAUGUACAACUCCUGAAGCUAUGCGCUUAGCAGAAGCAGACAACUAUCCCAGAUAGAAAGAGUAUAACCACUGUUCUUCGGUCAAUGGCACACUCUCCCUUGUUACAGCCUUCAAAUAAGCUCAUGUGCACAGUUAGUGCUAAAGGCGCACAGAAGUUUGGAGUACUAUUAAAUUAUUCUUAGUUUUACCUAAACCUAA
rnacentral:snRNA from 1 species